CUGUAAUGCGCUGUAAUGCAGAGGGGGAAGACGUAUAGUACUUUAACAAUAAUAUGUGAGAGAAUGGUAAUGUGAAAGAAUGGUAUUAGGAAAGAUUUGUAUUGAGGGUAUUGUAGGUAAAGAUGAAGGGAAUGUGGCAGAAAGAAAUCUUCUACUAAAUCUUCUUAAGUGGCAGUAAAUACAGUCUAAGAGGAUAGCACUUAACCGCUUAUAAGACUCCGUAUGCCAGUUUGGUAGUCUCCUCAGGGAAACACAUAAUCCCCUCAGUCUCCCUUCAUGUGAAGAAGAGAAGACAAAACAUCUGGACAUCUGGAACUUCUGUUUCCUCCACAAACAUAAAAGCUGUUUCCAAAAUUGGAUCUGUAACAUAGAUAUGCCUGGGGUCUAUAGACCACUGCCUAACUGUAAUAUAAAAAUGCUAACAUAUAGAUAUGAUAGUUUACAGAUACAGAUUUACAGUUGACUAGAAAUGCUAUCAAAGUACUUAAUUAACAGUACAUAAAAAUGUUGU